rnacentral:rRNA from 1 species
UACGUAGGGGGCAAGCGUUGUCCGGAUUUAUUGGGCGUAAAGGGCGCGUAGGCGGCCUACUAAGUCAGACGUGAAAUCCCCCGGCUUAGCCUGGGAACUGCGUCUGAUACUGGAAGGCUUGAGGAUGGGAGAGGGAUGUAGAAUUCCAGGUGUAGCGGUGAAAUGCGUAGAUAUCUGGAGGAAUACCGGUGGCGAAGGCGGCAUCCUGGACCAUUACUGACGCUGAGGCGCGAAAGCUAGGGGAGCAAACGGG